GACGAACGCUGGCGGCGUGCUUAACACAUGCAAGUCGAACGCAGUGGCGAACGGGUGAGGAAUAGGUGGGUAACCUUCCCUCCUUUUUGGGAUAAGCCUGGGAAACGGGGGCAAACACCGAAUAAAGGGGGAUGGGCUCGCGGCCUAUCUGCUUGUUGGUGGUGUGCUGGCCUACCAAGGCGGUGACGGGUAGCCGGCCUGAGAGGGUGACCGGUGACAGUGGGACUGCGAUACGGCCCAGGCUCCUACGGGAGGGGGCAGUGGGGGAAAUUGCACAAAGGGCGACAGCCUGAUGCCGCGUGGCGGCAUGGGGGAUGAAGGCUUUCGGGCUGUAAAGCUCUGUCGCUACCGAACGGGUAGGUGGAGAAGAAGCGCCGGCUAACUACGUGCCAGCAGCCGCGGUAAUAC
rnacentral:rRNA from 1 species